CGAAAUAUCAGAUAUGAAGCAUAGACUUCAAUGUUUUCCUCGGGAUUUACAAUCUUUUAUUUCUUGCAGAGGUGAACAAUAAUGGGGUUGCUCUUGGCCUGGACCUAGGACAUUGGCCAGAAGGGCUGGAAAAACUGAUGCUGUAUAUAAAGCAAAAUUAUCAAAACCCAAAAAUCUACAUUACUGAAAAUGGAACUCCUGAGCUAAGGAAUGAUCGACAACGUUCCACUAGCUGAACGAACAAACGACCCAUAUCGAAUCUCCUAUGUUCUUCACCAUUUAUAUCAUCUCAAUAAGGCAAUUAAGAGUGAAGUAAACAUCAAAGGGCAGGGUACUUUGUUUGGACUCUGUUUGACAGCUUUGAAUGGGGUAUGGGGCUGACGAAGAGACUUGGGCUUUACUACAUUGAUUUCAAUGACAAUUUCAACCGGAUCCCCAAUCUUUCUGUUAAGUGGUUCCAAGCUUUCCUUAAAAGCAAUCAGACCCGAUCGAGUUAAUUAGGGGUUACAUUGAGUGUACAUACCAACUUGUUGGCACAUAAGUGCAUA